AGCAGCCGCGGUAAUUCCAGCUCCAAUAGCGUAUAUUAAAGUUGUUGCAGUUAAAAAGCUCGUAGUUGAAUUUCGGGGUUAGUAAGUUGGUCAUGCCUUUGGUAUGCACUGGCUUUACUGAUUCCUCCUUCUUGACGAACCGUGAUGUCAUUAAUUUGGUGUUGCGGGAAAUCAGGACUGUUACUUUGAAAAAAUUAGAGUGCUUAAAGCAGGCUAACGCUUGAAUACAUUAGCAUGGAAUAAUGAAAUAGGACGUUAAUCCUAUUUUGUUGGUUUCUAGGAUCGACGUAAUGAUUAAUAGGGAUAGUUGGGGGCAUUAGUAUUCAAUUGUCAGAGGUGAAAUUCUUGGAUUUAUUGAAGACUAACUACUGCGAAAGCAUUUGCCAAGGAUGUUUUCAUUAAUCAAGAACGAAAGUUAGGGGAUCGAAGACGAUCAGAUACCGUCGUAGU
rnacentral:rRNA from 1 species